rnacentral:lncRNA from 1 species
CUAUGUUGGCAUUUUGGGCAUUUUUAUAAUGUGUUUCUGGCAAGGUCGAUCAUUAACAGCUGAUUCUGCUUUUUAGCGAAAAGUAAAGCAGAGAUCAAAUUUGAAAACUUAGUGAACUUCUGAACCCUAUAUUGUUGUUGCGGACAAUAUUGGUAGCAGAGAAGGUCAAAUAGGUUAUAUUCAUUCACAGACUUAAAGUCUUAGAAGCACAUAUACUACCAGUCAUGUUUUGCUUCGGGCAAGAAGAUGUUCUUUUGGUGAUCUAAACGAUUAGCCAAAGCGAUCCAAAGUGCUCGUGGAUCUUCCUCAGUUAGAUACUCAGUUUGCAGUGCAUCAUGAAUGUGUCUUCAAAUGAAGAUCAUAGCAGUGGCUUUCUUAGCUUUGAAAACUGGAUUGUCCGUCUCAUCUUCAAUGGUGGGACACAAAUUCUUUGUGGUGAGGUGAAGUUUCACAUCUUGGACCCACUUAAGGUAGUGUCUUCCAGAGUCCUCUAAAGUUGUGAAGUCGAGUUUGUUGAAAUUCAACAUCUCCCUAUCCCAAAAUAAAUGGAGCUUCAUAUCUUGGUCCCA